AGUGAACGCUGGCGGUAGGCCUAACACAUGCAAGUCGAACGGCAGCACAGUAAGAGCUUGCUCUUACGGGUGGCGAGUGGCGGACGGGUGAGGAAUACAUCGGAAUCUACUUUUUCGUGGGGGAUAACGUAGGGAAACUUACGCUAAUACCGCAUACGACCUACGGGUGAAAGCAGGGGAUCUUCGGACCUUGCGCGAUUGAAUGAGCCGAUGUCGGAUUAGCUAGUUGGCGGGGUAAAGGCCCACCAAGACGACGAUCCGUAGCUGGUCUGAGAGGAUGAUCCGCCACACUGGAACUGAGACACGGUCCAGACUCCUACGGGAGGCAGCAGUGGGGAAUAUUGGACAAUGGGCGCAAGCCUGAUCCAGCCAUACCGCGUGGGUGAAGAAGGCCUUCGGGUUGUAAAGCCCUUUUGUUGGGAAAGAAAAGCAGCAGGUUAAUACCCCGCUGUUCUGACGGUACCCAAAGAAUAAGCACCGGCUAACUUCGUG
rnacentral:rRNA from 1 species